rnacentral:rRNA from 1 species
AAUGAACGCUGGCGGCAGGCCUAACACAUGCAAGUCGAACGGAUCCUUCGGGAUUAGUGGCGGACGGGUGAGUAACGCGUGGGAACAUACCCUUUGGUACGGAAUAGCCUCGGGAAACUGGGAGUAAUACCGUAUGUGGUCGAGAGACGAAAGCUUUAUCGCCGAAGGAUCGGCCCGCGUUGGAGUAGGUAGUUGGUGGGGUAAUGGCCUACAAAGCCGACGCUCCAUAGGUGGUUUGGGAGGAUGAUCAGCCACACUGGGACUGGGACACGGCCCAGACUCCUACGGGAGGCAGCAGUGGGGAAUCUUAGACAAUGGGGGAAACCCUGAUCUAGCCAUGCCGCGUGAUCGAUGAAGGCCUUAGGGUUGUAAAGAUCUUUCAGGUGGGAAGAUAAUGACUGUACCACCAGAAGAAGCCCCGGCUAACUCCGUGCCAGCCGCCGCGGUAA